rnacentral:tRNA from 1 species
GGGCCUUUAGCUCAGUUGGUCAGAGCUGCGGACUCAUAAUCCGUAGGUCCCUGGUUCAAAUCCAGGAAGGCCCA